rnacentral:lncRNA from 10 species
UUUGUCUUCUUGGCCAAUGUCUGUUUCUUCUUGACUCCUCGUACCAGCAGCUUUGUGUAGCCUGCGUUGCAACCCUGGGCCCGAUCUUUGUGUAAAUUUUGACUGCAACAGUGGCCUGACAGUCAGCUGGGUGUCAUCAUAAUCCAAGCUCCAGUACUCAAAGAAGACCAGAGAACCCUGCUAACUUGAUUGAUGGAAUCUGGUGUUUCUCUACCCAAGGAAAACAACUUUGAUGUUUAUCUUCACUCUUUCUGCCUCCCCUGUCUGUCUUUCAAAUUCUUGCUCAGAGAAAGUCUUCUGCCCUCCAAAACCCAUUUCUGAGAGAUGACCUGAUGCUAGGCAUUUAUAAUUCAUUCUUUAGGUAAGCCACAGGGUUUAGUGAAAAGACAGAAAGACCUACUCCCCUGCUUAGCUUGUGACCUUGAGCAAGCUGGUUCACCUUUUGAGACUAUUUUCUCAUCUGUUAAUGAAGAUGGAAGGAAUAGUGUGAUUAUGUUUACACAGUGGUAUGUUGCCAUUCACAAGCUUGGAGGUAUUAAUUAAGUCACAUUUCCUUUAGUGAUUAGAUUAACACAACCCUAAGCCUUAAUGCUGGCCUGGCAAAAACUCCUCUGAGCAUGUGUGUUGGAGGGAAUAUAUAGCGGGAGAGGGAAGAAGGAGAAAGUGUUUAUCCGUAACGAUACUCAACCACAAUUGCUAUUAUCCUAGCCCCAGUUUCUCUUUCUUAUUUUUUAUUUUUUUGAGACAGGAUCUUGCUCUCUCACCCAGGCUGGAAUGCAGUGGCACAAUCUCAGCUCACUGCAACCUCCACUUCCCAGGCUCAAACAAUCCUCCCACCUCAGCCCCCCAAGUAGAUGGAACUACAGAGACAGAGUGUUGCUAUAUCAUGCAGGCUGGUCUCAAGCAGUCCUCCCACCAUGGCCUCCCAAAGUGCUGGGAUUACAGGCGUAAGAUACCAUGCCCUGCCUUCAUGUUUUUUUGUUUUUGUUUUUUAAAUACCAUCAGCACCAUUUUGGUGAACUACACAGCAUAUAAGAAAAAUAAUCCCUUGCUUUUGCCGCAAGUAACAUUUUAUAAUGGCAGAAGAGGCAACCCUGGCAGGCUUCGCUAUAUUUCCUGUAGAACUUCCUACCAGCGUUGGCUAAAAGGAUGCUGAAGACCAAUUGGGGCAGAGCAAGAUUACGAUAUUGUAGAUAUCCGACAGAGAGAAAGAGAAUGUGAUUGACUCUUAACUAGAGUCACGCACCACUCUGGAUCAAUCAUCUGAGGCCUGGGAGAAGUGUCAUAACACAGAAUAAAAGCUUCAUGAGUGCAAGAACUACGAUUAUCUUGUAGACAGGGUAGAGGCUAGCCUAAACUAGAUUCCUGUGCACCUCUGCGUGAAUUAGAAAAAAACACCCUCUCCAAAAAGGUGGGUUAGAAAAAGUCACAUCUUCUUGGUAGAUGCCGGUUGCAUGGGUUCAUAGCUUUGACGAGUGGAUUUCAACCCCUCGCUUUUCUUCGGCAUGUCGUACAAGAACUUCAGAAAUAUAUGUUGCAGCCCUGCUUGUCUAGUGCUAUUUGGGAUCACCCCUGGCACAUAGUGAAUGAAUCAAUAUGAUACCGUAAUUGAAUAAGAGGAGACCAUAAUACCCUCUUAGACCUACCAAACAAUCCAUGUUAUACAGCAAUAUCUUAUAUAGGAACAACAACAAUAAAAAACCUUGGAAGGCCUUUGAGACCAACCUUGAUUCCCUUACAGACCAGCUAGAGCCAGUCAGAGGCUCACAGCUGGAACACAACAGCACUUCAAUAGCACAGUAACCAAUUGAGGCUGACUUCUGUGACCUUCUGAUAUUUCAUAAAUGCACCAGCCGCAGGAACUCUUAUUUAAGUACUCCUGUUAGCCUUGUUCUUGCCUACUGACUUUACAGCCCCCUGUACAUGGCUGGGCUAGUGGGACGGAAGCCUUCCAACUGAGCAUCCCUUGCUAGAGGUCCUGUGAGUCCUGACAAAGCCUGUCUCCUGCCUUUUAAGAAUAGCAGAGUCAAAUAAAAUCUUGCCAGUGACUUUGGCCCACGCGUGGAGUGACGCCGACGGAUCUGCCUGAAAUGGAGACAUUAAAGAAUUUUGCAAAGCAAAGAAAAACCCACGGUUGCUUCCAUAAAUCAAAACUUCAAAUAAGAACGCAGCUUUAGCAAUUCAUUCCCUGCAGAAUUAACCUUUGUUUCCCGGCAGGCUGCUUCUAAGAAUAUGCUUCGUGCCUAAAAGGAAAUAGGAGAGCCCUUACAGAAUGGGUUUUAUGUUUACCACGCAGGAGGAAAAGCUGAAAUGAAAGCAAAGUUGAAAAGGAAGCUUGUUUCUAACUAAUCCAGCCUCUAGAUAGAAGUCCUAAGAUGCAAAAGCAAUUAUCAUAUACAUGAAUCUGUGUCCCUACUCACAGAUGCACAAAUGCCACUUCUUCGUCUGCUGUUUCUGUAACUUACUCCUGGCAAGGAUAACAGAGUUCUGGGGACUGGAAAAGGACUCAUCAUCCAGAUUCUUCUCUUCUUUAGGAUUCAACUUGGGACCUCCUCCUGGAAGUCCUCCUGGAUUUGAGAAGUACCCUUCCCCUGUGUCCCCAUAAAACCCUAUGAAUUUCUUUAUUAUUGAAUUUGUCACAUUGUAUUACAGUUAUCUGUUCAUGCGUCAAAGACAAGGGUAUUUUAUUUGACUUUAAAAAAAUCAUUAAAGUCAAAUACUUAGCACAUUGUCUGGAAUAGAAUGACAUCUCAGUAAGGUCUUAAUGAAAUAGUCAAUGGACCAUUCUGUUAACAGUUGCCUAUCGAACUCAUACUAUUUGUUGUCACUCUGCCACACACUAAGACUGUAUACAAGAAAUAUAACAUGUAAUAACAGUGGUUGCUAUCAUUUUUGAAUAUCUAUUCCAAGUCAGGUACUCUGCUAAUUGCUUUACAAAUGGGUUUCACCUGAAUACGUCGCAGCAGCUAUGACCUUCAUUUCAUAGAUCAGACUGAGACCAUAGUAGAUGAACUGACUUUUCCCCAAAGACACACAACAGGCAAGAGGAAGAACCGGGAGUUGAACCAGUCUCCAAAUCCUCUGAUCUAUUACCCUAUAGGAGUUUGCUUCUCUGACCUUAAGAAACAUGUGAUAUAAUGGGGGUUCGGUGGAGUGGUGUCAAAAGUACAAUGCAUUUGAAAUGCUGGAAAACCAUUAAGUGUCAGACGGUAGGGUGGUGCCUUCAUGGAGAAACAGGGAUCAACGAAGCAGGAGCUCCCUGUGUACUGGAUUAAUCAAGGAAAGAUUCAUGGCGGGUCCAGAACUUGAACUAAAAUCAGAAUGGAAUUUAAAUAUAUGGAGAAGAGAAGGCAAACGAAGAGGAUAAAUAAAGAAUGAGUGUCCCCCAGACCAUCUGGAAACCCCACCUGUGCAUCUUAAAUAAGGAAGGACCAAGCAGAUAUCAGAAAGAGGGAUGUUGGGGGAACAAGAAACUAACCAGCCUGCAGGA